rnacentral:tRNA from 1 species
GCGUCGGUUGUUCAGUGGUAGAAUACUCGCCUGCCACGCGGGUGGCCCGGGUUGGAUUCCCGGCCGACGCA